UGUAUCGCUGAUGAUAUCUUGGCUCCCUCUGCUGAAUACUGUGACGAGAUUGCCACUGUUACCCAAUUUCUGUCUGAGAUGUG